CGCCGCACGUCCUGCAGGACAGAGACCUGCUGAGGCCACCUGGGUGUCCUCAGCUCUGACUUCACACGCUCAGGUCACUCAGCACCUCCCCAGGACAAAGAGAUGCUUGGAUAGAUCAUGGUGGAAACAGGAAAUUUUGCUCCAUUCUACGUCAGAGACCUUGGUGUGCCUUGACUGGCUCUUUGCAGAGUGUUAAAAUUAUCCGAAGGUGAAGCACAGUGAGCUCUGCCCGGUGAAUUCUCUCACCAGUGUUGGUAUGACAGACUGAAUGGCCCAUUCUGACCUCAUGUAUAACCACACGAUCCUGGCACACCUUCUAUUGCCACAGAAAAUAGUUUUAAGUUUAUACCAGGGUGAGAGGAAAGAGCAUGAGCCAGAGGAGUAUUGUCCUUUUAAUUUAAAAUACUCACAUAAAGCUAAAGGACAAGGAAAUGGAUGUCUUGGAUUAACACAAACUGAUUAACAACAAAACAAAAACAACUGUCUAGGUGGAGCUGGUGAAUAGUUCAGCCUUAAUGCAUUUUGGCCUCUGUCACAAUGUUCCAUCAAAGAUGAUCUCCUCCUUCUGGGAUAAUUAACUUCCUUAAACAAUGUCGACCAUUUGCUUUUAUUCACCCAACAAAAGCUAGCUCAGGAGCCUGUUUCUGAGAGCUUGCCACUGAAUAAUGACUUGCUAAACUCCACAGAAGAGGAAAAGGAGAAAAGAUGCUAUCUAAAGACACAGAUGUAGCUUGACAACGCAGAACAACACAGAAGAGACAGAUACUCUGUAAUGACUUUGCCAUCAGUUUUAACAAGGCAUAUCUUUUACAGGGGUAUUUAAUAAUGAUAUGACUGACUCAGAAAGGGAGGAAAUGCACUCCCAUGAAUGGUCAGUUCCUCCCAAAUAUUCACUAAUUACUUAGUUAUUAGGAAACAAUCACAUAUUUAGUUUUAAGGAAAUACAUUUGAAUUAGUAAAGUUUCAGAAACACGUAAAAGCAAAAUGUAAUCUGACACUUUCAUAUAUGCAGUUAUUAGAUAUCGUCCUAUAGAUACAGAUUAGAUAUGUGGUUAUAUGAGAUAUAACCACAGAGGUUCCACAUGGCCAGAGUGACUGGAGCUGGAAGCUGGAUCACUCAUUUUGGACCAUCCUGAGAAAGGUAAGUAAGCACAGAAUGGAGUAUUGCCUUGCAGACAUAUUUCAGAAGGAGAUAUGAGCAAUUUUAAAUGACUGUGACAGAAAGAAAUCUUAUGUUAGAGUGCAAUGGUUUCAGUGAGGUCAGGACACUCUACAUAAAGCAUCUCCUGACAACGUGGGCAAGCCACAAAUCAAGGAUGGGCUUACAAACACCGGUGAAGUAGUGAGUGGACACUAUAAACAUGCAGCAGUUUUGUUCCCUGUGAAGAAUGCCUCACCAUACUCACUUGUAUGCCUCUGAAGACCCCGUGGGUGUGUAUUCUGUACUGGGCCCCACAGCUGUACAACAUGGGAGUGCUGUGGUUCUCAUUUUCAUAUCCCGCUGUGUGCCUGUAAGUAAAGAGGGGAAUAACCAAAAAAUUACAUAUUUUUCAGUACUCAGCUCCAUGUGAGAAGCUUCUUUCCUUAAGUCAGUGGUAACACAUGCAGAGUUUGCUUUUACAGCCAUGAUAUCCAAGUUCAAGUGAAAUUCACCAGAGGAAACCUGCUCUGCCUUCAUUCUCAUGGAUCUGCUCCCACUGGCACAGUGCACUGACUCCAUACAAACAUCUAAUAGCAUCCAUUAAGGCAUCCAGGGAAAAAAAGAAAAAAAAAAAAAAAGAAAUUAUCAUGAUUUGAGCUCUGAUGUAUUUCCACAAAGAUUUUAGAGCAUUUUGAAGCUGGAAUGGAAUGGAAUGGAAUGGAAUGGAAUGGAAUGGAAUGGAAUGGAAUGGAAUGGAACGGGAACCACCAUUGAUAAGGAGGAAGUUCUGCAGCAGAAGCUGUUGCUGACCUGCAGCACAGCAGUAAAUCAAGGGUAAAUGUGAACUUCAGCACUGGUCACCCUGAGUGUAACCUCCCCUUCACGCCUGUCCUAACAACCUUAAACACCAAAUAAACAACAGACACAAAGGCUGAUAAGAAUUCCCAGGACAGAAAUUUGUGAUAACCUCUUUUGUAAGGAGUUCUGAAAUACUGUUCUGAAAUAAUUCCUCCCAGGAAUAAGAGGCAGAACCAAGACCCUGUCUGUGCCCUAAGGAAUGGCUCCAUGAAUGAGAGGCAUCCUCCAGAAUGUGCAAAAGUCUGACUGAAGCCAGAAAGAAGUGCUGGGGAGAACUGAAGGCAAGGAGCUAAACAGGACUGUCAUCGUUGGACAGAAUCUAGAAGCUCCAUAUUUCAACAGGAAGAUUGACUCCAAAAUUCUUAAAUUACAACUACGAGAUUGAGAAAAGCAUCUGAAACACUAAACGCCUGGGAAUCACUUAUGAACAGUUCAUAUAUUUUAAAGAUGUAAAUCUUGGGAAGAAUACCUUAUGUUCAUGGCAAC